CCUACGGGAGGCUGCAGUGGGGAAUAUUGGACAAUGGGCGAAAGCCUGAUCCAGCCAUGCCGCGUGUGUGAAGAAGGCCUUCGGGUUGUAAAGCACUUUCAGUGGGGAAGAAAGCCUUGGGGCUAAUACCCUCGAGGAAGGACAUCACCCACAGAAGAAGCACUGGCUAACUCCGUGCCAGCAGCCGCGGUAAUACGGAGGGUGCGAGCGUUAAUCGGAAUUACUGGGCGUAAAGCGCGCGUAGGCGGUCUGAUAAGCCGGUUGUGAAAGCCCCGGGCUCAACCUGGGAACGGCAUCCGGAACUGUCAGGCUAGAGUGCAGGAGAGGAAGGUAGAAUUCCCGGUGUAGCGGUGAAAUGCGUAGAGAUCGGGAGGAAUACCAGUGGCGAAGGCGGCCUUCUGGACUGACACUGACGCUGAGGUGCGAAAGCGUGGGUAGCAAACAGGAUUAGAUACCCCGGUAGUC
rnacentral:rRNA from 1 species